rnacentral:rRNA from 1 species
CGCACGGGUGAGUAACGCGUAUGCAACUUGCCUAUCAGGAGGGGAUAACCCGGCGAAAGUCGGACUAAUACCGCAUGAAGCAGGGGCCCCGCAUGGGGAUAUUUGCUAAAGAUUCAUCGCUGAUAGAUAGGCAUGCGUUCCAUUAGGCAGUUGGCGGGGUAACGGCCCACCAAACCGACGAUGGAUAGGGGUUCUGAGAGGAAGGUCCCCCACAUUGGAACUGAGACACGGUCCAA